rnacentral:rRNA from 1 species
GAUGAACGCUGGCGGCGUGCCUAAUACAUGCAAGUCGAGCGAACAGACGAGGAUCUUGCUCCUCUGACGUUAGCGGCGGACGGGUGAGUAACACGUGGAUAACCUACCUAUAAGACUGGGAUAACGUCGGGAAACCGGAGCUAAUACCGGAUAAUAUAUUGAACCGCAUGGUUCUAUAGUGAAAGACGGGUUUGCUGUCACUUAUAGAUGGAUCCGCGCCGCAUUAGCUAGUUGGUAAGGUAACGGCUUACCAAGGCAACGAUGCGUAGCCGACGUGAGCGGGUGAUCGCCCGCACUGGAACGGAGACACGGUCAAGGCUACUACGGGAGGCAGCAGUAGGCAACGUGCCGCAGCGGGGGAAAGCUUGACGGAGCAACGGCGCGUGAGUGAUGAAGGUGCCCGGAUCGUAAAGCCCUGUUAUGGGUGAUGAACAACUGUGUAAGGAAAUAAGGCGGUCUUGACGGUACCUACACAGAAAGCACCGGCUAACUACGUG